rnacentral:rRNA from 1 species
UACAGAGGUCUCAAGCGUUGUUCGGAUUCACUGGGCGUAAAGGGUGCGUAGGUGGCGAGGUAAGUCGGAUGUGAAAUCUCGGAGCUCAACUCCGAAACUGCAUUGGAAACUACCUUGCUCGAGGGGUUGGAGGGGGGACUGGAAUUCUCGGUGUAGCAGUGAAAUGCGUAGAUAUCGAGAGGAACACCAGUGGCGAAGGCGAGUCCCUGGACAACUCCUGACACUGAGGCACGAAAGCUAGGGGAGCAAACAGG